CUUUACACAUCACACCAGGCAAAGGAGAAGCAAGCUCUAAAGGAAACCUAGCCAGGGAACUGAGGUGAAAAGAGCGUAUCUACUGAACCAUUUGCUUUUACAAGCCCGUGUGAGGAAGAUGAAAGAGCCAGAUUCCAGUUCUGGCUGUGUGUUUCCAGAGCCGUGCAAGUGUGGACAGACGGAGUUUCGCUCUUGUUACCCAGGCUGGAGUGCAAUGGCGCCAUCUUGGCUCACCGCAACCUCCGCCUGCUGGGUUCAGGCAAUUCUCCUGCCUCAGCCUCCCGAGUAGCUGGGAUUAUAGGCACGCGCCACCAUGCCCAGCUAAUUUUUUGUAUUUUAGUGGAGACGGGGUUUCACCAUGUUGACCAGGAUGGUCUUGAUCUCUUGACUUCGUGAUCCACCCUCCUCAGCCUCCCAAAGUGCUGGGAUUACAGGCUUGAGCCACCGCGCCCGGCCCAGCUGAGCAUUUCUUAAAGAGACUUUAAAAAUUAUUGAAUCAGACUAAACUUUUAACUAGAUGGAAUUUAAAGUUAAUUUUUCUCUGGUCAACUGAUGUCUAGAAACUUGGAAGACAAGUUACAGGUAAAAUAGAGGAGUUAAGCCCCAUCACCAUCAUCGUCCUUGUCAGGAUCAUUUUUACUAUGUCACACUGGAUGCUUUUACUGUCUUAUCCUCUUCGUGUUCUAUUUUCUUCCCCACAGGUUUGUGACCUGCUAAUGGGUAGGAAGUAGUUUAAGACUGUUGUUGUCCAUGUUCAUUUGUGCUUUGCGUGAUCCUGGUCACAGAGCUGGUGCUUGGCAAGCACUCAUUGGGCAACUGCAAGCUGGUAGCUGAGCAUGACAGUAAGAGGAAUAGUGAUGGAAGAAGGAUAGUAUGGAAGGGGAUGCUUGACUAGCAUGGCACAGCUAAGAGUCAGUCCCCACAUGGUGAUGGCACUCUUGACCUUGAUCCAGCUAUUGAAUAAAGCCCCUAUAGAGUUCUGAUGAGAAUGAAGAGAUGACUUUGUAACUGCAUGAAAAUGGGCUACAGAGGAGGAGUUCUCCAGUUUUAUGAAAUACAGGUUUGUCAGGAUCUGCAAAGAAGGUGAAUUAUUAGUUUCUUCUCAGCUUUAAUCCACACAUCACCAUAGAAAAUGCAAUUGGUGGGGAGUGGGUAGGGAGAGAAGUGGGAUCAAAACUGAGUUUCCACAAACUUCCUCUGACGAUGGUUAUAGUAAAGCAUUUUGGCUAGGAAAAGAUUAAUCUCUGUUUACAAAAUUAAAAAGAAAACAAAAAACUUAACAUGUGAAAAAUAUUAUGUUGAUGCAUGUUUUGCUGAACAGAUGGUGACAGUCCCCAAACUUCUCAAGGAUUUCCCUUGGAGGAUGAAAGGAGAGAGUUUUAAUUUGGCUGAGUAACCUAGAGUCACUGGAU
rnacentral:lncRNA from 1 species